CAGCCACCGCGCACUGUGUCAGCCACCAGUGUCGAUGGAGCAGCCUCAACAAUAUUCAUAUUAAACAACGCUUCUGUUGCGGCGCAACUUUGACGGUUCUCAAACUCAAGCAGAGCAUCAACUAAUUUUUGAAGCAGAAGAGAUUCGGUUGAGAAUGAUGCAAGGGUUCAAACAGUAUCAAACUCCGACAAAAAAUCGACUAAUAUUAUUUCCACCUUCUCCGCCUCCGAAACCGUCGAUCCAGGGGCCUCAAGAAGCGCACAGGUAUUUUGUAUUUUCACUAUAUAAUUUUUUACUGGCAUGGUUCCUUUCUUGAUUGAAUGAAGGUCAUGUCGGAUUCGAGAUAGCUUUGCGCCAGUGGCAGCAGCAAAAAGAUGAUUGGUCGUACUCCUAACGUCACAAGCAAAUUUUACUGCUAUAAAACAAGACAACAGAGGUGAGCUAAUUAUAGAGAGAAGCCAAGAAGCAAAAAGCUUAUCUUGUUGGAUGAAAAUAGAAGCAUCAGGAUUCAAAGUGAGAACGUCAUCCGGAAAGGAGAUGAAUCGAGGCGGAGCAGGAAACGUUGGAACCAACCGGACGCUAGAGAUGUUGGGACUACCACGAUCAGCAGCAGUGGAGUCAGCGGAAUUUGCCAUGGACGCAGCGAGAAAAACCUCCAGGAAUGUUAGGCAACUGAUACCAUUAUAAGAUUUCUAGAACUGAAAAUAUUUCAGAAAUUGAAUUUAGAAUUGAAUUGAUUUUUCUGAUCCUUAAAUCUGUACAAUGACUAGUAUAUAUACAAUGUAUGAGUAACUGCUAUUGUAAGUAACUACUGUUAACAAA